rnacentral:rRNA from 1 species
AUGGAGGGAAAACAACAAUGGGACAUGGUGGACCCUGGAUUCAAGCUUUGCGCUCCAGUUCUGAAGAGAGCAGCAGGUAGACCAAGGAAGAGUCGAAUCAGACCUCACAACGAAGGAGCUGGACUUGGAGCUAGGAAGCAUAAGUGCACAAGAUGUGGUGGGUCUGGUCAUUUCGGUAAGUAUUGUGAUAACACAGUAGAUCCAGCGUUCGGAGAGAGUUUCGAUGAAGGCUUCGAUGAAAAUGUUGGUCAGCAGCCGGUUGCCUCAACAGAUGAUGAAAAUGAUGGACAUCAGCCGGUUGCAUCAGAUGAGGAUUUUGACGAGGUUCGAAAUGAUGAUGGUCAACAGCCGCAUGAUUUUGACGACAAUCCAAAAUAUCCUCCAAAUAAUGAUUCAAGUGAGGCUCCAAAUGGUGAUCCAAGUGAGGCUCCAAAUAGUAAUCAUGGUGAUCCAAGUGAGGCUCCAAAUGAUGAUCAUGGUGAUCCAAGUGAGGCUCCAAAUGAUGAUCAUGGUGAUCCAAGUGAGGCUCCAAAUGAUGAUCCAAGUGAGGCUCCAAAUGGUGACCAACCUUCUGUUGUUGUGAGUUCUGCUAGGUAUGUAAAUCUUGCAAGGGUCAAAUACUACUGUACAUUUAUGCGUCACUUGACAUGA